UACAGAGGGUGCGAGCGUUAAUCGGAAUUACCGGGCGUAAAGCGUGCGCAGGCGGCGCGUUAAGACAGGUGUGAAAGCCCCGAGCUUAACUUGGGAAUUGCGCUUGUGACUGGCGGGCUGGAGUGUGGCAGAGGGAGGUGGAAUUCCACGUGUAGCAGUGAAAUGCGUAGAGAUGUGGAGGAACACCGAUGGCGAAGGCAGCCUCCUGGGCCAGCACUGACGCUCAUGCACGAAAGCGUGGGGAGCAAACAGG
rnacentral:rRNA from 1 species